rnacentral:sRNA from 1 species
CUGAGGGUUUAUACCCAAAAGAUAUUUUUGUGGUUCGCAAUUAAGAAAAUGGACGAAGGCAGUGAAGUUAGGGAAGAAUCACUCAAAUUCUUAAGUGGCAGCAGCAGACAUACAUGGAAGAGGAAAGAGUUUUGAACCAUAUCAGCCAACAGCAAAAUGAAAACAUGAAUUGGUGAAAAAAGAAAAGAGACAAAGGAAAUCCCGCGCCAGAGGAUAUCCCAGAGGGUACAACAGAAAGGAGGGGGCUUUGGCUUUGAAAAGGGGACAAUCACAUUGGAGACGGGGGAUCACUGAUCACCACCACUUAUAGAGCGAGAGACCUCGGACCAGAGAAAAAAAGAAGGAGAAGAAGCGACUGUUGGUGAACCUAGCUGCCCAGUCAACUUCACUUCACGGCGCCUGCAAGAUCAUUUUGGUUACUAAAGGAGAAGUUCAGUCGAGGAGAGAAAAGGGAAUUAAAGCCCAAAAGAAAAGGCAUCUUGAAGCUGCGAAGUUUCUGUGCCUGCAAAUUUCAUCUAUUUAACUACCAAUAGAAGAUAGGCAUACAUUUCCCUAACAUCAACACUUCGUAUCCCUUUAGCACCCAGGAAACCCGUAAAUAAAAAGCAAACAGCAGCAGCAAAUAUAGCUCUCGUACCAUCUCCUACCUCUAUCAAAUGCAAACCAAAUCACAGAUCCCAUGCCAGUACACUCAAAGCAUUCACCUCCUCAGAAUUUCUUCACAUUACAGGAGCCUGUCAUUCCCCAACUUACAUCCUCAUUCUCCUAAUCUCUGCCCACGGUAACAAUGGAGACUCCAACCUUUGUCUCCUUCCCUCGCCAGCCGCCAUCAACCGUUUGGAUUCUCCACACUGCGCUCAACCGUAACCGCCUCAACAAACAUAACCCAUCAUCCAAUACACCUGUCAUCGUUCAAAAUCACCAUUGAUGCCCCCAUUCAUUCGUCGGAUACCCCUUUCACCAUCCAGAUUCACCCAUUGCCACAGCCAUCUUGACAGAUUUCAUUCACCAUCUCCUUCAUCAUGCACAUAACCGGAACCCACUAUUCCCUCAACCUACACCGUUAACCGCAAAAACAAAAUCCUCCUCCAUUCACUCGGAUAUCACCAUCAACCAGGAUUCAAAGAAAAAUUUGAACGCAGAGACGAAAGGGGUAGAGGUGGGUUUGGUCGUAGCGGUGGAGGACGUCAACGCGAGGACCGGCGGCGACCUUGGUCGUGACCUGUGACACUGGUGGUGCUCUGGUUCGAGGCAGCCGUGAUCGUUCAAACAGCGAUUGACGGAGAAGCGUGAGAGAUUCUCUAACGCGGGAAGAAGAGAAGGAAAGGAGGGUCUGGCGCCGUGACCGGCAACGACUCCGGCGGCGAGCUGCAUCGCUGGCGCGGAGAGGCGAGAGCUUCUCUCCGCGCGCGAAGAAGCGAAAAAAAGAAAAAGGAGAAGAGGGGCUUGGCGCGGCAACCAGUGGGGUCUGUGGCGGCGAUCGGCGCACUGGUGGUGUCCUGGUCUUGCGGUUGGCGGCGGCCGGUUUGGCGGAGGCGGUGGCGCGUGUGCGCGAACGGGCGGAGGUCCACUUUUAGCUGCCUCGUUUGGGAGAGAGGCCCUAGUCUCUAGGCUUUCUGAAUGUUGGAGUGAGGAGAAGAGUGGCAGAACCCCUAACCCCUAAUGCUUCUGCUUGAAAAAAACUCCUGGGCCCGGUCCAAAUAAUAAAAAAAAACAAAAACCCGAUUCUUUUCUUUCCUACGCGCAUCCCCCGUUUCUCACCCGCACACUCUCCAUCCUUUCCCUUGGUCUCGGCUCAGGCCCGUUCUAUUCUUAAAAAAACACAAAUACCAAUUUCUUCCCUGCGCCCCCUUAUUCUCAUUUUCGCACCCCUCUCCGCCUGGGCUUUGGCCCAGUUCGUUUUUUUAAUUGUUUAGGCACCCCAGUUUCUUAUUUAGCACCUCCGCACCCUUUUUUUU